UCACUACUAUAAUAGCACUAAUAAGUGAUCACUUGUGUUAACACUUAUAGCUUUGAUAGUAUAAUAAUCAAUGUUAUUAGAUAUGAUCUGGGCAUUGAUCUAGUUAAGUUUCUGGUUCAUCCAGUGGACCAUUGUCAGUAAGACUGUUGUGUUCAUUGUGCUAUAAUUAAUACGAAUAUACGCUACAACAUGUGAACCAAACAUGGAU
rnacentral:lncRNA from 1 species